UACGUAGGGUGCAAGCGUUAUCCGGAAUUAUUGGGCGUAAAGAGCUCGUAGGCGGUCUGUCGCGUCUGCUGUGAAAUCUGGGGGCUCAACCCCCCAGCCUGCAGUGGGUACGGGCAGACUAGAGUGCGGUAGGGGAGAUUGGAACUCCUGGUGUAGCGGUGGAAUGCGCAGAUAUCAGGAAGAACACCGAUGGCGAAGGCAGAUCUCUGGGCCGUAACUGACGCUGAGGAGCGAAAAGCAUGGGGAGCGAACAGG
rnacentral:rRNA from 1 species